rnacentral:rRNA from 1 species
CAAUAGCGUAUAUUAAAGUUGUUGCAGUUAAAAAGCUCGUAGUUGGACCUUGGACCUGGACAGGCGGUCCGCCUCACGGCGUGUACUGUCUUGCUGGGUCUUUCCUCUUGGUGAUCUGUUGUUUCGGCAGCAGGGAACCAGGACUUUUACUUUGAAAAAAUUAGAGGGUUCAAAGCAGGCUCGACGCCGGAAUAUAUUAGCAUGGAAUAAUAAAAUAGGACGUGCGGUUCUAUUUUGUUGGUUUUUGGAAUCGCCGUAAUGAUUAAUAGGGACAGUCGGGGGCAUUAGUACUCACAUGCUAGAGGUGAAAUUCUUGGAUUUUGUGAAGACUAACUUCUGCGAAAGCAUUUGCCAAGGAUGUUUUCAUUAA